ACACAGUCACCAACGAACACUCAUGGAUGGAGGCGGGGGACCCACCGGUCCACCGAACAGACGGACCUGGAGCCGAAUUCGGCUCCUUGGGGUGAAGCCGGCGUCGUUCCGACGCCGCCGGCCGGGCAACCUCUCCAGCCCGAACCCGACAGCUGACCUCGCGGGCGCAGAAGAGAGGACAU
rnacentral:sRNA from 2 species